rnacentral:rRNA from 1 species
AUUGAACGCUGGCGGCAUGCUUUACACAUGCAUGUCGAACGGUAACAGGCCGCAAGGUGCUGACGAGUGGCGAACGGGUGAGUAAUGCAUCGGAACGUGCCCAGUCGUGGGGGAUAACGCAGCGAAAGCUGCGCUAAUACCGCAUACGAUCUAUGGAUGAAAGCGGGGGACCGUAAGGCCUCGCGCGAUUGGAGCGGCCGAUGUCAGAUUAGGUAGUUGGUGGGGUAAAGGCUCACCAAGCCAACGAUCUGUAGCUGGUCUGAGAGGACGACUAGCCACACUGGGACUGAGACACGGCCCAGACUCCUACGGGAGGCAGCAGUGGGAAAUUUUGGACAAUGGGCGCAAGCCUGAUCCAGCAAUGCCGCGUGCAGGAAGAAGGCCUUCGGGUUGUAAACUGCUUUUGUACGGAACGAAACGGUCCGGGUUAAUACCCUGGGCUAAUGACGGUACCGUAAGAAUAAGCACCGGCUAACUACGUGCCAGCCGCCGCAGUAACAC